rnacentral:rRNA from 1 species
UACGUAGGGGGCAAGCGUUGUCCGGAUUCAUUGGGCGUAAAGAGCGUGUAGGCGGCCAGGUAGGUCCGUUGUGAAAACUCGAGGCUCAACCUCGAGACGUCGAUGGAAACCAUCUGGCUAGAGUCCGGAAGAGGAGAGUGGAAUUCCUGGUGUAGCGGUGAAAUGCGCAGAUAUCAGGAAGAACACCCGUGGCGAAGGCGGCUCUCUGGGACGGUACUGACGCUGAGACGCGAAAGCGUGGGGAGCGAACA